rnacentral:misc_RNA from 1 species
GAUGAAGAACGCAGUGAAAUGCGAUACGUAAUGUGAAUUGCAGAAUUCAGUGAAUCAUCGAGUCUUUGAACGCACAUUGCGCCCCCUGGUAUUCCGGGGGGCAUGCCUGUCCGAGCGUCAUUGCUGCCCUCAAGCACGGCUUGUGUGUUGGGCCUCCGUCCUCCUCCCGGGGGACGGGCCCGAAAGGCAGCGGCGGCACCGCGUCCGGUCCUCGAGCGUAUGGGGCUUCGUCACCCGCUCUUGUAGGCCCGGCCGGCGCUUGCCGACACAUCAAUCUUUUUUCCAGGUUGACCUCGGAUCAGGUAGGGAUACCCGCUGAACUUAAGCAUAUGAAUAAGCGGAGGA